UUAGAGACUAUGAAAGGUAAAAAGUUACUUACACUCAGUUACAGAGAACCAACCUAGGCUGAAAGUUGGUACUGAUGGGGUAAUGAUACUCGACCUAGAGUCUGAAAGGCUGAAAAUUAUAAGUAAGCUUUCACGGGAGCAGCCGUUAAAAUGCAAGGGUUUUUAGCUUUUAUUUAAUGAGAUCAUCUGUUAUUUAGGUGAUGAAAUAGAGUGGUACCGCGUUAAUAGACGCCUCUAUA
rnacentral:ncRNA from 1 species